UUUACACACACAAACACAUAGUUAUCUCUUAAGAACAACACAUCUCCCUCUCUCUAUCUCCUUCUCCCUCUUUCUAGCGACAAUUCACUCUCCGGCUCCGAUCAGCAAUUGUAUACUCAUCUGUCUACAAUCCCACAUGACUAGAGCACCACCUUUCUCCCUUAUUUCAUCUUUCCCCAGGAAAGUUGAGGCUUAGGGCUUGAAGCACAUCUAAUUUGAGUUGUUGCAGAAAUAAGCUCAAGAAGUAAAUUGCAGUGGAAGAGCUUCUCAUUCCAUCAAGGGCAAAGGGAUUCUCGAAACUUCGUAAUCGGUUAGUGACAGUUUUCAGCAAGGAAAAAGAGACCGAGGGAUUUUGGCACGAUAGCACACCCGACUGGCUUGUACAUAUCUUUUUGAACUAAAACUCUAGUGGCAUAUACUUAGACUUUUUGAAGGGAAAAAUCUUUUUGUUGUGUAGCGUAACAACACUAGUCAUCGUGCGUGUAUAGAGUUGUAGCUGGUGACUAACGUUGUUUCGCUGGAAAAUAAAAAACAUGAUACCUUAUAAUACUUUACUUUAGGAGGGUAAAGUUCGAGAGCUAUUUUAAUUGUCGCUCCUAAGUAAUUUUUUUUUUACAAUA